rnacentral:tRNA from 1 species
GGUGGGAUGGCUGAGUGGCUGAAAGCACCGCAUUCGAAAUGCGGCAUACUCGCAAGGGUAUCGGGGGUUCAAAUCCCUCUCCCACCG